rnacentral:rRNA from 1 species
UACGUAGGGUGCAAGCGUUAUCCGGAUUUAUUGGGCGUAAAGAGUAUCGUAGGCGGUUAUGAAAGUGCAUGGUUAAAGGCUGCGGCUCAACCGUAGAAAUGCUAUGCAUACUAUAUAACUAGAGGGUUGUCGGGAGUGCUGGAAUUCUCGGUGGAGGGGUGAAAUCCGUUGAUAUCGAGAGGAACACCAAAGGCGAAGGCAGGCACUUAGGCAACAUCUGACGCUGAUGAACGAAAGCUAGGGGAGCGAAAGGG